GUACAAGCAGUGGGAGCCCCACCACUAAGCCAGUGGUGAACUCCACAUACGCAUCCUUUGCUGAGGAUACGGUUAACGGAGCGAAAGCGACGUUCAACCGCAAAAGAAGCAGAGGGGGCUUAGUGGUGGGGUGACUGCGUACCUUUUGUAUAAUGGGUCAGCGACUUAUAUUCUGUAGCAAGGUUAACCGAAUAGGGGAGCCGGAGGGAAACCGAGUCUUAAUUGGGCGUUAAGUUGCAGGGUAUAGACCCGAAACCCGGUGAUCUAGCCAUGGGCAGGUUGAAGGUUGGGUAACACUAACUGGAGGACCGAACCGACUAAUGUUGAAAAAUUAGCGGAUGACCUGUGGCUGGGGGUGAAAGGCCAAUCAAACCGGGAGAUAGCUGGUUCUCCCCGAAAGCUAUUUAGGUAGCGCCUCGUGAAUUCAUCUCCGGGGGUAGAGCACUGUUUCGGCUAGGGGGCCAUCCCGGCUUACCAACCCGAUGCAAACUGCGAAUACCGGAGAAUGUUAUCACGGGAGACACACGGCGGGUGCUAACGUCCGUCGUGAAGAGGGAAACAACCCAGACCGCCAGCUAAGGUCCCAAAGUCAUGGUUAAGUGGGAAACGAUGUGGGAAGGCCCAGACAGCCAGGAUGUUGGCUUAGAAGCAGCCAUCAUUUAAAGAAAGCGUAAUAGCUCACUGGUCGAGUCGGCCUGCGCGGAAGAUGUAACGGGGCUAAACCAUGCACCGAAGCUGCGGCAGCGACGCUGAUGCGUUGUUGGGUAGGGGAGCGUUCUGUAAGCCUGUGAAGGUGGCCUGUGAGGGUUGCUGGAGGUAUCAGAAGUGCGAAUGCUGACAUAAGUAACGAUAAAGCGGGUGAAAAGCCCGCUCGCCGGAAGACCAAGGGUUCCUGUCCAACGUUAAUCGGGGCAGGGUGAGUCGACCCCUAAGGCGAGGCCGAAAGGCGUAGUCGAUGGGAAACGGGUUAAUAUUCCCGUACUUGGUGUUACUGCGAAGGGGGGACGGAGAAGGCUAUGUUGGCCGGGCGA
rnacentral:rRNA from 1 species